UACGUAGGGUGCGAGCGUUGUCCGGAAUUAUUGGGCGUAAAGGGCUCGUAGGCGGUUUGUCGCGUCGGGAGUGAAAACUCAGGGCUUAACCCUGAGCCUGCUUCCGAUAUGGGCAGACUAGAGGUAUGCAGGGGAGAACGGAAUUCCUGGUGUAGCGGUGAAAUGCGCAGAUAUCAGGAGGAACACCGGUGGCGAAGGCGGUUCUCUGGGCAUUACCUGACGCUGAGGAGCGAAAGUGUGGGGAGCGAACAGG
rnacentral:rRNA from 1 species